UACGUAGGGGGCAAGCGUUGUCCGGAUUUAUUGGGCGUAAAGAGCGUGUAGGCGGCCUGACAGGUCUGCUGUGAAAGCCCCGGGCUCAACCUGGGAAUGGCAGUGGAUACUGGCAAGCUAGAGUGCGGUAGAGGGGUGUGGAAUUCCCGGUGUAGCGGUGAAAUGCGUAGAGAUCGGGAGGAACACCAGUGGCGAAGGCGGCACCCUGGACCAGCACUGACGCUGAGGCACGAAAGCGUGGGGAGCAAACAGG
rnacentral:rRNA from 1 species